UACGGAGGGGGACUAGCGUUGUUCGGAAUUACUGGGCGUAAAGCGCACGUAGGCGGAUUUGUAAGUCAGGGGUGAAAUCCCGGGGCUCAACCUCGGAACUGCCUUUGAUACUGCAAAUCUCGAGUCCGGAAGAGGUGAGUGGAAUUCCUAGUGUAGAGGUGAAAUUCGUAGAUAUUAGGAAGAACACCAGUGGCGAAGGCGGCCUGCUG
rnacentral:rRNA from 1 species